rnacentral:rRNA from 1 species
UAAAUAAUAAUUAUAUAUUUUAAUUUUCUCGAUUUUAAAAGAGCUAAGAAGUUAUAUAUUUUAUUGUAAUAUAAAUAUUUAUAAUAAUUUUUUAGUAAUGAAAUGUUAUUCGUUUUUAAAUAUAUCUAGUUAUUUAAGAAAUAAAUUUAAUUUAGUUAUUUAAUUUAAUAUUAAUUUAAUUUUUUAAGUUAAUAUUUUAAAUAGUUAAUAUUUUAAGGGAUAAGCUUUAAAAUAAAUUUUUAUAAAAUUUAAAUUAAUAUAAAAAAAGUUGUAGAAUUAGAAAUAUUCAUCAAUGAUAGUAUGUUAUAAUUAAUUUUUUUAUUAAUAUAAUUUAUAUUUUUUUUAAAUAAUUUAUUAAAUUUAUAUAUAUAAUUCAUUUAUAUAUCUAAUAAUGAUAAAAUUAGUAUAAUUUGUUGUAAAUUUAAUUUAUAAUGAAAAGGUUAAAUAAAGGAAUUCGGCAAAAAUUUUUCCGCCUGUUUAUUAAAAACAUGGCUUUUUGAUUAUAAUUUAAAGUUUAACCUGCCCAAUGAAAAUUUUAAUGGCCGCGGUAUAUUGACUGUGCAAAGGUAGCAUAAUAAUUAGUUUUUUAAUUGAAAGCUGGUAUGAAUGGUUGGACGAGAAAAAAUCUGUCUCUAUUUAAUUUUAAUUAGAAUUUUAUUUUUAAGUAAAAAAGCUUAAAUAUAUUUAAAAGACGAGAAGACCCUAUAGAGUUUUAUAUAAAUAUAAUAUUGUAAUUUAAAGUAUUAAAAUUAAAUUUUUAUUUUUAUAUUUAGUUGGGGUGACUAAAAAAUUUAAAAAACUUUUUUUUUAUUAAAACAUUAAUAUAUGAGUGUAUGAUCCAUUAUUUAUGAUUAAAAGAUUAAAUUACCUUAGGGAUAACAGCGUAAUUUUUUUUGAGAGUUCUUAUCGAAAAAAAAGAUUGCGACCUCGAUGUUGGAUUAAAAUUAAUUUUUGGCGGAGAAGCUAAAAUUAUUAGGUCUGUUCGACCUUUAAAAUUUU